GGGUAGCUUGUUUGAAUCUAACCUACUUUACACAGUUCUCGAACCAGAGCUUACUUUGGAAGUAUAUUUAUAUUCGGUUAUAGCUAUAUUAGCAGGGUUGAUUUUUUUCUUAGGUAUAACAUCAAUUUACUCAAUUUUCUUUGUAAUAUAUAUACUAGUAGUAACAUGGAUAUCGUUUUGGGGGCCUUUAUAGUUUGUUGUUCAGUG
rnacentral:lncRNA from 1 species